rnacentral:rRNA from 1 species
AGAGUUUGAUCCUGGCUCAGGAUGAAUUUUGGCGGCGUGCUUAACACAUGCAAGUCGAACGGGAAUGCCGCGCUGAUGCGAUUUCGGUCAAAUCAUGUGGCAUUCGAGUGGCGGACGGGUGAGUAACGCGUGGGUAACCUGCCUUACACAGGGGGAUAACACCUGGAAACAGGUGCUAAUACCGCAUAAGCGCACAGGGCCGCAUGGCCCGGUGUGAAAAACUCCGGUGGUGUAAGAUGGACCCGCGUCUGAUUAGCUUGUUGGCGGGGUAGGGGCCCACCAAGGCGACGAUCAGUAGCCGGCCUGAGAGGGUGGACGGCCACAUUGGGACUGAGACACGGCCCAAACUCCUACGGGAGGCAGCAGUGGGGGAUAUUGGACAAUGGGGGAAACCCUGAUCCAGCGACGCCGCGUGAGUGAAGAAGUAUUUCGGUAUGUAAAGCUCUGUCAGCAGGGAAGAAAGAAAUGACGGUACCUGACCAAGAAGCCCCGGCUAACUACGUGCCAGCAGCCGCGGUAAUACGUAGGGGGCAAGCGUUAUCCGGAAUUACUGGGUGUAAAGGGAGCGUAGACGGUGAUGCAAGUCUGGAGUGAAAGGCGGGGGCCCAACCCCCGGACUGCUCUGGAAACUGUGUAACUUGAGUGCAGGAGAGGUAAGCGGAAUUCCUAGUGUAGCGGUGAAAUGCGUAGAUAUUAGGAGGAACACCAGUGGCGAAGGCGGCUUACUGGACUGUAACUGACGUUGAGGCUCGAAAGCGUGGGGAGCAAACAGGAUUAGAUACCCUGGUAGUCCACGCCGUAAAC